GCAAUAAAAACCCUAACACAAUCUUCUCAAUUAAAAACCCAGCAUAAAUUAGGAAUAGAGCAGCGGUUCUCGACAUGUGGGUCUCGACCCCUUUGACAAACCUCUAUCUCCAAAAAUAUUUGAUUAUAACAUUAUGAUUAUAACAGUAGCAAAAUUACAGUUAUAAAUUACAGUAGCAAUGAAAAUAAUUAUCAUUGAGGGGCACCACAACUUGAGAAACAGUAUUAAGGGGUUGCGACAUUAGGAAGGCUGAGAAUCACUGGAAUAGAGCAUAAUAAAUUAAAUAAAGGAAGGCUGGAAUGAAGCUUGACGGUUGAAUCCCUGACUAAUCCACUAGUGAGGGGCUGGGGGCGUAGCUCAGGUGUAGAGCCCUUGCCUAGAAUCCCCCAGUAAAGGACUGGAAGUGGUAAUCAGUAAUAAAACACUUGCCUAGAAUCCAUCAGAGAGGGGCUGGGGAUUGGUGAUAGAGCAAAAGAAAUCUAUGAAACUGACUAAUCCUAUCCCUAUCCACCCUAUUCCAUGAAAACAUUUGUGGUGGAUUGAAUAUGGUUGGCCCAGUGAGUGGCACUGUUAGGAGAUGUGGCCUUGUUGGAGGAAGUGUGUCACUGUGAGGGGUGGGGGGCUUUGAGACAUUCCUCCUACCCGCCUGAAGAUGCUGAGUCUUCUAGUAGUCUUCAAAUCAAAAUGUUGAACUCUCAGCUCCUCCAGCAUCGUGCCUAUCUGGACGCUGCCAUGCUUCCCUCCAUGAUGAUAAUGGACGGGACCUCAGAGACUGUAAACCAACCCCAAUUAAAUGUUGUCCUUUAUAAGAGUUACCUUGGUCAUGGUGUCUCUUCACAGCAAUGAAGACCUAAACUACGACAUCAUCCACUAAGAUCUAAAGACAAGCAAGGUUUCUUUCCUCACUCAAGGCUAGGUCUCUGUUUGGAGACACCCUGUUCCAACCACUAUGCUUAAUUGACACUGAGUCACCCCUAAGAUGUUAAUAAACAGACUAACAGUGUCAGCCUAACCCAAAUAUGUGGGUUAUUGUGCAAUUUUCAGUAUUUUCUAGACAGGGUUUCUCUGUAUAGCCCUGGCUGCCCUUGAACUCACUCUGUAGACCAGGAUAGCUAGGGCUCACCUCUGGCCUCUCUCUCUCCCUCUCACCCCCCUCUUACCCUCUCCUCCCCCUGCCCACCUCUGUGAGUGUGUGUGCAUGUGUGUACACCACACACAGAUACACAGACACACAGACACAGAUACACACACACACACACACACAGGCAUUCAAUGCCAACCAAACUGCACACGGAGAAGCUAAGAAGACAAAUUGCAGUCAGUACUCUCUUUCCACAAUGUGGGUUCUGGGGUCAAACUCCAGCUUGGCCAUCUCACCAGCCAACAAGCAUUCUUGAUAGACCCCUAGUUUCCCUAAGUAGACAACAGGAGACUUGUUAGUCAGCUACAGGAGUCGUAUCACUUCCUGUGAUCUUUUAGCAUCAGUGUCUCAGAAUCUGACUAUGAGAGUUCUUAAAAUUCUUCUUUUCCUUCCUCUAUCCAGAGUCUCAAGCCAUUUAGGAUCACCAAACUGGAAAGACCCAGGAUUCUACCCCUUAACGUUUAUAGUUCUUGGACAAUCCACUGACAUUAUACAGGACUCAUCUUCUGCAUUCUAUACAUGGAAAGGCAGCAUUUUAAAAACAUGGUGCUGAGGGAAAAUAUAUAGGCAGGUAGAGAAAGCAGAAAUGGCCUUCCUGCCAGGGUUGUUUCCUUCCUUAGAGAAAGGUUGGAAGGACAAAUGCCUAGGCAAAAUGUUAAGAUGAGAGGAUGCAGAAGUUAUAAAAUGCUAAACACAGAGCCCUUGUAAGGACUCCCAACACAGUGAUUGUCAGCCCGCCUCAAUAAAGCUCCACACACGCACACCUUUGUCCCUCUCAGUCAAUCCUUUGCCUGCCCCACAAAUGAACUCAACUAAUACCAGAAUCUUAGUUACCGUAGGGGCAAAGGUGGGUCAGCACUAAAGGGCACAUGCAGCUUUUGCAGAGAACCUGAAUUUGGGUCCCCAGCACCCACAUGGGGUGGCUCACAACCGCCUGUGACUGAAGUUCCAGGAGAUCCGACGCCCUCUUUGGGUGAGUGCAUACACACACAAUUUAAAAAUAUGAUCAGUGACAGUGUUUUUUUAAUUUCUUUUAAACUGCCCUUGACUCUUGCUUUGCCAUUUAUAAUUUAGCAAUCUUGAACAAAGUGAGUUUGUUUCUCUGAGUCACCUGUAAAUGAGGUUUUUCGUGAAGAUUUAAUGACAUCAUCUGAGCAAAGCCCCCCCCCCCCCGCAACCCCUCCUUUCAGCCCCCUCUCUCCAAACUGAAGCUCACUAUAGGAGGCAGAAGAGUAUAGACAAGUUCUGACUGCAGAUGCCAGUGAUCCCAUAGCUGGUGAGGCAAGCAAAUCUGGCUAUGAAAUCUUUAAGACAGUACACUUUGCCCUCCAGCCUGCUCCUGCCCACAGAGGCAGCACCAGCCUGUGCGUUAACUUGCUCCAGUCACCCAUAGCUCUCUGAAGCAGGUGGUUCAAGGAGCGCAAUGGUCCACUAACGAACUACAUUUCCCAGCAUGCACUUCCAGCCAGGGACCCUAGAGGCUAUCCUGCGAACCUUGUCCGAACCGCUUUAGGAGUAUCGGUCCGUAAUCUCCAUUCAUUCAUCUCCUAUGUUUCCCUUGGCUAAAUGAGUCAGUUACCGUGAACUCCAACAUGAACGGGUCUCCUGCAGGGCUUGUAGAAAGCUUUGGUUCAUUCGUCCUGAUAGGAGAUAGGGCCUAAGGACCAGGGUUCGUGUAGCCUGGGACGAACCCAAGGCCUCGCAGCUU
ensembl:processed_transcript